GCGCGCGAGGGAGCACUCUCCCCUGAGCGCUCUCUGCCCAGCUCUCUCGCGCGCCGCUUAUUGAUGGCUGAGGCAGAAUAUGACGUCAUAUUCCGGCUCCGGCAUCAGUGCGGUGCGUGUGAGGGAACUGGGCAGAGAGCGUUUAGGGGAGCGUGCUCCUUCGCGUGC